AUUGAACGCUGGCGGCAUGCCUUACACAUGCAAGUCGAACGGUAACAGGUUAAGCUGACGAGUGGCGAACGGGUGAGUAAUGUAUCGGAACGUGCCCAGUCGUGGGGGAUAACUGCUCGAAAGAGCAGCUAAUACCGCAUACGACCUGAGGGUGAAAGCGGGGGAUCGCAAGACCUCGCGCGAUUGGAGCGGCCGAUAUCAGAUUAGGUAGUUGGUGAGGUAAAGGCUCACCAAGCCGACGAUCUGUAGCUGGUCUGAGAGGACGACCAGCCACACUGGGACUGAGACACGGCCCAGACUCCUACGGGAGGCAGCAGUGGGGAAUUUUGGACAAUGGGCGCAAGCCUGAUCCAGCCAUGCCGCGUGCGGGAAGAAGGACUUCGGGUUGUAAACCGCUUUUGUCAGGGAAGAAAAGGUUCUGGCUAAUACCUGGGACUCAUGACGGUACCUGAAGAAUAAGCACCGGCUAACUACGUG
rnacentral:rRNA from 1 species